AUUGAACGCUAGCGGCAUGCCUUACACAUGCAAGUCGAACGGCAGCACGGGUGCUUGCACCUGGUGGCGAGUGGCGAACGGGUGAGUAAUACAUCGGAACGUACCUUAUCGUGGGGGAUACCGCAGCGAAAGCUGUGCUAAUACCGCAUACGCCCUGAGGGGGAAAGCGGGGGAUCGCAAGACCUCGCGCGAUUAGAGCGGCCGAUGCCUGAUUAGCUUGUUGGUGGGGUAAAAGCCCACCAAGGCGACGAUCAGUAGCUGGUCUGAGAGGACGAUCAGCCACACUGGGACUGAGACACGGCCCAGACUCCUACGGGAGGCAGCAGUGGGGAAUUUUGGACAAUGGGGGCAACCCUGAUCCAGCAAUGCCGCGUGAGUGAAGAAGGCCUUCGGGUUGUAAAGCUCUUUUGUCAGGGAAGAAACACCGGCUCUAACACAGUCCGGGAAUGACGGUACCUGAAGAAUAAGCACCGGCUAACUACGUGCCAGCCGCCGCGGUAA
rnacentral:rRNA from 1 species